UACGUAGGGCGCAAGCGUUAUCCGGAAUUAUUGGGCGUAAAGGGCUCGUAGGCGGUCUGUUGCGUCGGGAGUGAAAACUCAGGGCUUAACCCUGAGCCUGCUUCCGAUACGGGCAGACUAGAGGUAUGCAGGGGAGAACGGAAUUCCUGGUGUAGCGGUGAAAUGCGCAGAUAUCAGGAGGAACACCGGUGGCGAAGGCGGCUCUCUGGGCAUUACCUGACGCUGAGGAGCGAAAGUGUGGGGAGCGAACAGG
rnacentral:rRNA from 1 species